GAUGAAGAACGCAGCGAAAUGCGAUACUUGGUGUGAAUUGCAGAAUCCCGUGAACCAUCGAGUCUUUGAACGCAAGUUGCGCCCGAAGCCAUUAGGUCGAGGGCACGCCUGCCUGGGUGUCACACGUCGUUGCCCCCCCAUCUACUCCUUCGGGAUUGCGGGGGGCGGAUGAUGGCCUCCCGUGCGCCUCGUCGCGCGGUUGGCAUAAAUGCCAAGUCCUCGGCGACGCACGCCACGACAAUCGGUGGUUGCGAAACCUCGGUUGCCCGUCGUGUGCGGUCGUCGCGCAUCGAGGGCUCGAAAAAAUUGCCGGGCUCCGGCUCGGCUUUCAACGCGACCCCAGGUCAGGCGGGGUUACCCGCUGAAUUUAAGCAUAUCAAUAAGCGGAGGA
rnacentral:misc_RNA from 1 species